GACGAACGCUGGCGGCGUGCUUAACACAUGCAAGUCGAACGGGUCUGCCCUGUUUUUUGCGGGGUGGGUCAGUGGCGAACGGGUGAGUAACACGUGAGUAACCUGCCCCUCACUUCUGGAUAACCGCUUGAAAGGGUGGCUAAUACGGGGUGUUCUGGCUGUGCCGCAUGGUGUGGCUGGGAAAGAUUCACUUUUGUGGUGUUUUGGUGGGGGAUGGGCUCGCGGCCUAUCAGCUUGUUGGUGGGGUGAUGGCCUGCCAAGGCUUUGACGGGUAGCCGGCCUGAGAGGGUGGGCGGUCACACUGGGACUGAGAUACGGCCGAGACUGCUGCGGGAGGCAGCAGUGGGGGGUAUUGCACAAUGGGCGGAAGCCUGAUGCAGCGACGUCGCGGGAGGGAUGGAGGCCUUCGGGUUGUGAACCUCUUUCGCCGGUGAAGAAGGUCCUGCUCUUUGUGGUGGGGUUGACGGUAGCCGGGUUAUGAAGCGCCGGCUAACUACGUG
rnacentral:rRNA from 1 species